rnacentral:lncRNA from 1 species
GAAACUCAUGUGCUCAGCCGGCUAGUCUUGAUUUCCCCGCAAAAUAUACAAAAAUAGAAAUUAAUUAGCAUACUUUCGAAAUAUUACCAUGCAGCCAAUUUAAAUACAAUACAAUGUCAAUGCAAUUUCAACAGCAAUCAUUUAUACUAAAAUUAUUUUAACUGACGUUAUAGAUUUUUACGAAUACCUUAUGACAUAAAUUCUACAAGAACAAUUUGGUGGCUUAUAAGCCAAAUAGUCUAUUGACACAAGUAUUAUGGUCUCGUUAAAAUACUGUAAAUACAGACUGCCAAAGCAUAUACAUUUAAUCGUUCGUGUGUCCAUACAAAGUGGAUUAAACUAAAUCGAACGGCCAAUAUCUGACUUUGCAUCACUUCCUUGUCGCAUACACGUCAUGUUAAGUGUUGUAACAGUGCUCGAGUAAAUUAAUCUAAGCG